UAGGGUUCGAUCCUGGCUCAGGAUGAACGCUAGCGGCAGGCCUAACACAUGCAAGUCGAGGGGUAACAGAAAAGCUUGCUUUUGCUGACGACCGGCGCACGGGUGCGUAACGCGUAUGCAACCUACCUCAUACUGGAGGAUAGCCCCUGGAAACGGGGAUUAAUACUCCAUAGUAUCACAAUUUCGCAUGUUAUUGUGAUUAAAGUUUUUCGGUAUGAGAUGGGCAUGCGUCCCAUUAGCUUGUUGGUGAGGUAACGGCUCACCAAGGCAACGAUGGGUAGGGGGCCUGAGAGGGUGGUCCCCCACACUGGUACUGAGACACGGACCAGACUCCUACGGGAGGCAGCAGUGAGGAAUAUUGGUCAAUGGAGGAAACUCUGAACCAGCCAUGCCGCGUGAAGGAUGACGGCCCUAUGGGUUGUAAACUUCUUUUAUAGAGGAAGAAACUUGUCUACGUGUAGACAACUGACGGUACUCUACGAAUAAGGAUCGGCUAACUCCGUGCCAGCCGCCGCGGUAAUUCA
rnacentral:rRNA from 1 species